rnacentral:rRNA from 1 species
UGGUGUUCCUUCCUAUAUCUACGCAUUUCACCGCUACACAGGAAAUUCCACCACCCUCUACCGUACUCUAGCUCAGUAGUUUUGGAUGCAGUUCCCAGGUUGAGCCCGGGGAUUUCACAUCCAACUUGCUGAACCACAUACGCGCGCUUUACGCCCAGUAAUUCCGAUUAACGCUUGCACCCUUCGUAUUACCGCGGCUGCUGGCACGAAGUUAGCCGGUGCUUAUUCUGUUGGUAACGUCAAAACAGCAAGGUAUUAACUUACUGCCCUUCCUCCCAACUUAAAGUGCUUUACAAUCCGAAGACCUUCUUCACACACGCGGCAUGGCUGGAUCAGGCUUUCGCCCAUUGUCCAAUAUUCCCCACUGCUGCCUCCCGUAGG